GCUACGGUGCUGGAGCAGGCAGCUACCCUGGGGCAGGAAACAACGGCUAUGGAGCAGGUAAUGGAACUGACACUGACAGACAGAAACCUAACCAACAUAUUCUCUCCUUUCAAUGGAUAGCUCACUAUUCUGUGGCAUAAAGAAAGUAAUGGAAACUCAAUCUGGCACAGGUUCCAUGUUACCUCUUCACGUACAUUCUAAUGCAUGUUAGGUGAUGUAAUUGAAAUUAUUUAAAAAGUAGAUGAUCGCUUGAGUAAUGAAUGCACCUAUGCUACAGGUCUUGGACAAGGAGGAUACCCCCAGAAUGGAGCAGGCAAAGCUUUUCGCUUUGUCUUUCUAUUUCUGUCUCUCUUUAUUAUCUUUGUCUUUCUAUUUCUGUCUCUUUUAAUAUCUUUGUCUUCUAUUUCUGUCUCUCUUUAUAUCUUUGUCUUUCUAUUUUUCUAUCUAAAUCCAUUUUUCCUCUUUCUCGCUCUUGCUCUCUAUCUCAGUGCCAGUCUGGGACAGGGAGGACCCCCGGUGGGCAGGUGGUACCCCCAGGGUGGAGCAGGUGGAUACCCACAAGGUGGAGCAGGUGGAUACCCACAGGGUGGAGGCAGGUGGAUACCACAGGUGGAGAAGGUGGAUACCCACAGGGUGGAGCAGGUGUAUACUCCCAGGGUGGAGCAGGAGGAUACCCCCAGGGUGGAGCAGGUGGAUACCCCCAGGGUGGAGCAGGUGGAUACCCCCAGGGUGGAGCAGGUGGAUACCCCCAGAGUGCAGGAAAACCAGGCAAAGCUGGCGGUGGUGAGUCUUUUACUUUGUCGCCAUGUUUUUCUCUUUAUUUCUCUCUUUCUUUCUUCUCCCUCUCUCUCUCUCUCUCUCUCUUUCUAUUCUCUUUUUUCUCUUUCACUCUCAUUUGCCCUCUUCCUCUCUCUCUCUCUCUCUCUCUCUCUCUCUCCCUCUCAGGUGCUAAUCUGGGACAGGGAGGAUAUCCCCAGGGUGGAGCAGGAGGAUACCCCCAGGGUGGAGCAGGCAAAUCAGCGGGUUAUGGUGAUCAAAUGGGAGGAGCAUACCCCGGGGCUGGAGCGGGCAACGGCUAUGGGAAUGGUGAGUCAGCAUGCUUCCUCUUGUCAAAUGCUAAGGUCAAAUUCCUUUAUUAAGGUCAAAUGCCUUAAAAUAUAACUACAGUUAGAGGACACUGUAGACUGAAGUAUAGAGCUGAGGCAUUGACGAUGAAAUAUUGAAUAGAUAUGUUGGGAAUGACUGAGGAUUACAGUAGCAGUGUGAAACAUAGCUGCCUCUCUAGAGACGGAAGACUAACUGCACCAAAGUUGUCACUGAGAAGUGAUCUUAAAUGAGAGAAGACAGAUCCUCAGGGUCUGUACCACCAGGAAGGGACCUUCACUUCUUUUGUUCUCAUGCAGGUGGAGGCCCAGCUGGGGGGGCCAAUGCAGUGCCUGCAGGUAUUUGGCGCCGGCAUGUGUCUCUGUCUGCCUGUCUGUCUGUCUGUCUGUACAUGGCAUGCACCUGUCCUUAUCUGUUAACCUUUCUAUCCCCUUUACAGGAAGUACUGUUGUGGAAAACUUCUGCCACAACAUUUAACAAGCCCACGCUAAAGCUAGAGGAGCUGGAAAGCUGCAUGCAGUGUUGUUUGGGGACUUUGUUUUAGACUAAAUGUCUGCUUUCUUGUCAAGGUUUUUAACAUGCCCCCUCUUCUCCACAGGCUAUGGCAAUGGCUACGGUGCUAGUACUGGAGGCAAUGGUUAUGGACCCGGUAGGUCUCAUCAACUAUAGCCAAUCAACUAACAUCUGUGGGUGGCUGACCAACUAACUGACCCGCUCACAUACAGACAUAAUUAUAAUUGAUUGAUGAUUAUAAUUAUGUUUCAGGGAUUGGGUACCCAACAGUGUUAGCGGAUGGUGCUGCUGGGCUGGGAGGCAAGGCAGGGAAGGGAGCAGGAGGUAACCAUUCAUAAACCAGUAAUAACUCAUUCUUUUUUUUAUUUCACCUUUAUUUAACCAGGUGGCCAGUUGAGAACAAGUUCUCAUUUACAACUGUGACCUGGCCAAGAUAAAGCAAAGCAGUGCGACACAAACAACACAGAGUUACACAUGGGAUAAACAAACGUACAGUCAAUAACGCAAUAGAAAAGUCUAUAUACAGUGUGUGCAAAUGUAGUAAGAUUAGGGAGGUCAGGCAAUAAAUAAGCCAUAGUGGCACAAUAAUUUCAAUUUAGCAAUUGAACACUGGAGUGAUAGAUGUGCAGAAGAUGAAUGUGCAAGUAGAGAUACUGGGGUGCCAAGGAGCAAAAAUAAAGAACAAUAUGGGAAAGAGGUAGUUGGGUGGGUUAUUUACAGAUGGGCUAUGUACAGCUUCAGUGAUUUUUGCAAUUCGUUCCAGUCAUUGGCAGCAGAGAACUGGAAGGAAAGGCGGCCAAAGAGGAGUUGGCUUUGGGGGUGACCAGUGAAAUAUACCUGCUAGAGCGCGUGCUAAGGGUGGGUGCUGCUAUGGUGACCAGUGAGCUGAGAUAAGGAGGGCUUUACCUAGCAAAGACUUAUAGAUGACCUGGAGCCAGUGGGUUUGGCAACGAAUAUGAAGCGAGUGCCAGCCAAAGAGAGCGUACAGGUCGCAGUGGUGGGUAGUAUAUGGGGCUUUGGUGACAAAACGGAUGACACUGUGAUAGACUACAUCCAAUUUGCUGAGUAGUGUUGGAGGCUAUGUUAUAAAUGACAUCGCCGAAGUCAAGGAUCGGUAGGAUAGUCUUUUUUACGAGGGUAUGUUUGGCAGCAUGAGUGAAGGAAUGCCAUUGCGAAAUAGGAAGCCGAUUCUAGAUUUAAUUUUGGAUUGGAGUUGCUUAAUGUGAGUCUGGAAGGAAAGUUUACAGUCUAACCAGACACCUAGGUAUUUGUAGUUGUCCACAUAUUCUAAGUCAGAACCAUCCAGGGUAGUGAUGCUGGACAGGCGGGCUGGUGCGGGCAGCGAUCGGUUGAAGAGCAUGCAUUUAGUUUUGCUUGCAUUUCAGAGCAGUUGGAGACCACGGAAGGAGAGUUGUAUGGCAUUGAAGCUCAUCUGGAGGUUUGUUAGCACGGUGUCCAAAGAAGGGCCAGAUGUAUACAGAAUGGUGUCGUCUGCGUAGAGGUGGAUCAGGGAAUCACCAGCAGCAUAAAUAAUAACUCAAUCUGGUAACUACUCUACUCUAUGGGAACUUGACUCGCUCUCAGUAAGAUGAGGAAGGUCAGUAACACUUUCUAUGAGGCAAAUAUACAAAUAAGGCAUUAUAGUGCAUUAUAAAACUUGCAUAAGCUGUCAUAACAACUCAUAAGUAGUUAUAACAUCAUAAUUUAGGAUCUUACUUAGGCCUACUCAAAACAAAUAACAACCAUUCAAAGUCGGCAUUGAGAGAGGUAAGAGGAAAGUAUUUUGUCAGGAUAUAAUCAUAUAACAUGCCAUGUGUCAUGUAACAGUGUGGACACUAGGUGUAAUGUAACAGUGUGGAUGCUAGGUGUAAUGUAACAGUGUGGACACUAGGUGUAAUGUAACAGUGUGGAACAACUAAGUUUAAUGUCACAGUGUUGGAUUACCAGG
ensembl:lncRNA